AGGUAGGGUGGCCGAGUAGGCGGCGAGUUGUAGCCUCGUGUACGGGAAAAAGAGCCCCCCAACCAG
rnacentral:tRNA from 1 species